GAUGAACGCUAGCUACAGGCUUAACACAUGCAAGUCGAGGGGAAACGACAUUGAAGUUUGCCUCGAUGGUCGUCGACGGGCGCACGGGUGAGUAACGCGUAUCCUACCUUUCUCCGACGGAGGGAUAAUCGGUACAAAGUCGGCCUCAUCCCUUAUGCAGUCGUCGGAAGUUCUCUGAUUACGACGAACGAUUUCAUCGGUGAGAGAUGGGGAUGCGUCCGAUUAGCUUGUUGGUGGGGUAACGGCCCACCAAGGCAACGAUCAGUAGGGGUUCGGAGAGGAAGGUCCCCGGCAUUGGAACUGAGACACAGUCCAAACGCGUACGGGAGGGAGCGGAGUGGAGUAUUGGGCAAUGAGGGAGAGCCUGAACCAGCCAAGUAGCGUACAGGAUGACGGCCCUAUGAGUUGUAAUCUGCUGUGAAGCAGGGGUAAAAUGAGGGACGUGUCCUUCAUUGCAGGUACCGAAUGAAUAAGGACCGGCUAAUUCCGUG
rnacentral:rRNA from 1 species